GACGAACGCUGGCGGCGUGCCUAAUACAUGCAAGUCGAACGAACGGAUUGAGGAGCUUGCUCUUCAUGAAGUUAGUGGCGGACGGGUGAGUAACACGUGGGUAACCUGCCCUUCAGUGGGGGAUAACAUCCGGAAACGACUGCUAAUACCGCAUGAUGUUUCGAGAGGGCAUCCUCUUGGAACCAAAGCUUUAUGUGCUGAAAGAUGGUCUCGCGUCUGAUUAGCUAGUUGGUGAGGUAACGGCUCACCAAGGCGACGAUCAGUAGCCGGUCUGAGAGGAUGAACGGCCACAUUGGGACUGAGAUACGGCCCAG
rnacentral:rRNA from 1 species